rnacentral:rRNA from 1 species
UUCCGGUUGAUCCUGCCGGACCUGACUGCUAUCGGAUUGAUACUAAGCCAUGCGAGUCUUUGUAGUAAUACAAGGCAUACGGCUCAGUAACGCGUAGUCAACCUACCCUAUGGACAAGAAUAAUCUCGGGAAACUGAGCAUAAUUCUUGAUAGAUCAUAAUGCCUGGAAUGGUUUAUGGUUAAAAUGAUUCGUCGCCAUAGGAUGGGACUGCGGCCUAUCAGCUUGUUGGUGAGGUAAUGGCCCACCAAGGCGAUAACAGGUACGGGCUCUGAGAGGAGAAGCCCGGAGAUGGGUACUGAGACAAGGACCCAGGCCCUAUGGGGCGCAGCAGGCGAGAAAACUUUGCAAUGUGCGAAAGCACGACAAGGUUAGUCCGAGUGAUUUCUGCUAAAGAGAUCUUUUGCUAGUUAUAAAACCACUAGUGAAUAAGGGGUGGGCAAGUUCUGGUGUCAGCCGCCGCGGUAAAACCAGCACCUCAAGUGGUCAGGAUGAUUAUUGGGCCUAAAGCAUCCGUAGCCGGCUCUGUAAGUUUUCGGUUAAAUCUAUGCGCUCAACGUAUGGGCUGCCGAAAAUACUGCAGAGAUAGGGAGUGGGAGAGGUAGACGGUACUCGGUAGGAAGGGGUAAAAUCCUUUGAUCUAUCGAUGACCACCUGUGGCGAAGGCGGUCUACCAGAACACGUUCGACGGUGAGGGAUGAAAGCUGGGGGAGCAAACCGGAUUAGAUACCCGGGUAGUCCCAGCCGUAAACGAUGCAGACUCGAUGAUGCAUUGGCAUAUAGCCAGUGCAGUGUCGCAGGGAAGCCGUUAAGUCUGCCGCCUGGGAAGUACGUACGCAAGUAUGAAACUUAAAGGAAUUGGCGGGGGAGCACCACAAGGGGUGAAGCCUGCGGUUCAAUUGGAGUCAACGCCGGG